rnacentral:rRNA from 1 species
CCUACGGGGGGCAGCAGUGAGGAAUAUUGGUCAAUGGGCGCAAGCCUGAACCAGCCAAGUCGCGUGAGGGAUGACGGUCCUAUGGAUUGUAAACCUCUUUUGUCGGGGAGCAAGGCCCGCCACGUGUGGCGGGAAGGAGAGUACCCGCAGAAAAAGCAUCGACUAACUCCGUGCCAGCAGCCGCGGUAAUACGGAGGAUGCGAGCGUUAUCCGGAUUUAUUGGGUUUAAAGGGUGCGUAGGCGGAAGGUUAAGUCAGCGGUAAAAUGUCGGUGCUCAACACCGGCCUGCCGUUGAAACUGGUCUUCUUGAGUGAGCGAGAAGUAUGCGGAAUGCGUGGUGUAGCGGUGAAAUGCAUAGAUAUCACGCAGAACUCCGAUUGCGAAGGCAGCAUACCGGCGCUCAACUGACGCUGAGGCACGAAAGCGUGGGGAUCGAACAGGAUUAGAUACCCUAGUAGUC